AUUUAUGUAGCAGCCCAAAUUUGGUAGCUUAAUGUUACUUGUAAAUAUAAUUGUUAGAAUUUAAUCAAAUCUUUAAAAUUUUUCUUUUAAAAAACACUAAUUUGGUUUAUUUAUAGCAAGUAGUCAAAUUCAGCCAUAUUUUCCAGCUAGCAUAUUUUUUUGUCAGCAGGCUAACACUGGCUAUCAAGCCAAACUUCAGGUUAAAAAGUUAUUGCCUAUAUAAUGUUUAGGUAAUACAGAAAUAUAAUUCCGAAUUGUUCAGCUUUUAUUCAACAUAAAUUCUAAAAUUAAUUUAAUGUGAACAAAACUCUUUUCUUCCAGUAACAGCUGAAUUCUUUUACUUCACACGCGGUUGCUGCUCAACAGUCACAGUGGAAAAUUCCAGAAAAUGAAUCUUGCCUGUUCCAUUUCAGGUCAGCAUCCCCAAUAAAUUAUGAUGAACUGACUAUUAUCAACCCAAUUUGGGCCAAGUCGACAAACUACCUGACCCAACAAGCUAAUCCCAGGCCCUGAGAUGCAAAAUUAACCCAACAUUGUGGGCUUUACCAGUAUGAGGUUUCAAAAGGCAGGUGGCACCCUUUAUACAAGGUCUCGGACAUCCUUUAUGUCCUGAUCCAGAACCUCAGGAGGAGUCUUGCAAGAAAACCUGCAGAGACACAGCAGAUCAGAAUCAGGUGAAAGAUGCCAACUACAGGUACAAAAGAUGUACCCUUAAUUGUACCCCAGAGAAAAGGAAAAGUACAGAUUGGUACCUUUAUUUUGUAAGUACCAAUGAACAGAAGCCAGUGGUGUUCAAACCUAGUGCUAAGGAUGCUAUGCUGUUCACAUUUUUGCCUCAUCUACCACAGCUGAUUCAUGGAUUAAUUGACCAACUCGUGGUCUAAUUAGUUAGCACUUAAUGUGCUGGGUUACAGCAGGAAACUUUCACCAUGUAAAGAACAGAAAAACUUGCAUAACCUGUGCUUAAAAUAUCUUAAAUCUUUGGACAAGCUAUUAGUGAUGUAUUAAA